GGGACGAACGCUGGCGGCGUGCUUAACACAUGCAAGUCGAGCGGAAAGGCCCUUCGGGGUACUCGAGCGGCGAACGGGUGAGUAACACGUGAGCAAUCUGCCCCUAGCUCUGGGAUAGCUCCGGGAAACCGGGAUUAAUACCAGAUACAACCACUUUAGACAUCUUUUGUGGUGGAAAGGAUUCCGGCUAGGGAUGAGCUCGCGGCCUAUCAGCUUGUUGGUUGGGGUAACGGCCCACCAAGGCGACGACGGGUA
rnacentral:rRNA from 1 species